UGGAUAGUUCAGUCAGUAGAACACGAUACUUUUAAUAUCAGGGUUGUGGGUUUGAACCCCACAUAGGGCAAAA